rnacentral:misc_RNA from 2 species
AACGCACCUUGCGCUCUUUGGUAUUCCGAAGAGCAUGCCUGUUUGAGUGUCAUGAAAAUAUCAACCUUGACUUGGGUUUUGUGCUCUAGUCUUGGCUUGGAAUUGGGUGCUUGCCGCUUUUACGAGCGGCUCACCUUAAAUGUAUUAGCUGGAUCUGUCUUUGAGACUUGGUUUGACUUGGCGUAAUAAGUAUUUCGCUAAGGACAUUCUUCGGAGUGGCCUCGUUUCUAGGACGCUUGUCCGCUUCCCAAUACAAGUUCCACCUCGUGGACAUGACUUUUUAUUAUCUGGCCUCAAAUCAGGUAGGACUACCCGCUGAACUUAA